UACAGAGGGUGCAAACGUUGCUCGGAAUCAUUGGGCGUAAAGCGCACGUAGGCGGCCCAGCAAGCGGGGAGUGAAAGCCCUCGGCUUAACCGAGGAAGUGCUUUCCGAACUACUGGGCUUGAAUACUGGAGAGGGUCGCGGAAUUCCCGGUGUAGAGGUGAAAUUCAUAGAUAUCGGGAGGAACACCAGUGGCGAAGGCGGCGACCUGGACAGAUAUUGACGCUGAGGUGCGAAAGCGUGGGGAGCAAACAGG
rnacentral:rRNA from 1 species